AUUGAACGCUGGCGGCAGGCCUACCACAUGCAAGUCGAACGAGUGGCGGACGGGUGAGUAAUGUCUGGGAAACUGCCCGAUGGAGGGGGACAACUACUGGAAACGGUAGCUAAUACCGCAUACCAUCGGAUGUGCCCAGAUGGGAUUAGCUAGUGGGUGGGGUAACGGCUCACCUAGGCGACGCGCCCUAGCUGGGCUGAGAGGAUGACCGGCCACACUGGAACGGAGACACGGUCCAGACUCCUAGGGGAGGCAGCAGUGGGGAAUAUUGCACAAUGGGCGCAAGCCUGAUGCAGCCAUGCCGCGUGUAUGAAGAAGGCCUUCGGGUUGUAAAGUACUUUCAGCGAGGAGGCGUUACUCGCAGAAGAAGCACCGGCUAACUCCGUGCCAGCAGCCGCGGUAAUAC
rnacentral:rRNA from 1 species